CCUACGGGCGGCAGCAGUGAGGAAUAUUGGUCAAUGGCCGUAAGGCUGAACCAGCCAAGUAGCGUGAGGGAAGACUGCCCUAUGGGUUGUAAACCUCUUUUAUGCGGGGAUAAAGGGGGCCACGUGGGGAUGUUUGCAGGUACCGCAUGAAUAAGGACCGGCUAAGUCCGUGCCAGCAGCCGCGGUAAUACGGACGGUCCUGGCGUUAUCCGGAUUUAUUGGGUGUAAAGGGAGCGUAGGCCGGUCUUUAAGCGUGCCGUGCAAUUUUGUGGCGCAACCAUGAGCGUGCGGCGCGAACGGGUGACCUUGAGUGCGCGGCAGGCAGGCGGAUUUCGUGGUGUAGCGGU
rnacentral:rRNA from 1 species